UACGUAGGGUGCAAGCGUUAAUCGGAAUUACUGGGCGUAAAGCGUGCGCAGGCGGUUUUGUAAGUCUGACGUGAAAUCCCCGGGCUCAACCUGGGAAUUGCGUUGGAGACUGCAAGGCUAGAAUCUGGCAGAGGGGGGUAGAAUUCCACGUGUAGCAGUGAAAUGCGUAGAUAUGUGGAGGAACACCGAUGGCGAAGGCAGCCCCCUGGGUCAAGAUUGACGCUCAUGCACGAAAGCGUGGGGGAGCAAACAGG
rnacentral:rRNA from 1 species